rnacentral:rRNA from 1 species
GAUGAACGCUGGCGGCGUGCCUAAUACAUGCAAGUCGAGCGAACAGACGAGAAUGGUUUCCCUUUCUGGGUUUAGAGUCGGACGCGUGAGUGGCAUGCAUCUAACUCUCCUAUAUCACGGGGAUAACCUCGGGAAAACGUACCCAAUUCCGGAAUAUAUUUAGCUUCUCAUGAAGCAAUAGUUUAAGACGUUUCUGCUGUCACUUAGCCAUUGACCCGCUGUGGAUUAGCUAGUUGGUGGGGUAACGGCUCACCAAGGCAACGACCCAUAGCCGACCUGAGAGGGUGAUCAGCCACACUGGAACUGAGACACGGCCCAGACUCCUACGGGAGGCAGCAGUAGGGAAUCUUCCGCAAUGGGCGAAAGUCUGACGGAGCAAUGCCGCGUGAGUGAAGAAGGUUUUCGGAUCGUAAAACUCUGUUGUAAGGAAAGAACAAGUACGUUAGUAACUGAACGUAUCUUGACGGUACCUUACCAGAAAGCCACGGCUAACUACGUG